ensembl:misc_RNA predicted gene, 27582
UGGCAGUUAAAGGACAGAAGCAGCAAUAAGGCUGCCUGGCUACAUUUUCACAGUGCCACCAACUGCGAGUUAAGCUGACAAACAUUCUGAGAGCUUGGCCCAUUUCAUUCACAGCAGGAUGGCAGG